CGAGCCGUAUACUAUUUUAUAGUUUCGAAGAUAGCCAUUUUGGCGGGUGACGUGUUUGCAUGCCGUGUAUUGACAGCCAUAACAUAAAUGAUCGACGUUGCAUGUAAUAUGGCGAUAAUUGCUUUUCCGAUGUAGAAGAAGUAAAGAACAUGGUAAUUCGUGGCUGAGUUAGGAAAAGAUUGAUAGAAUUUUUCACAAUGGUGAGAAACAUCGAUGAAUUUGAGAUUGGUGGAAAGUAAGAAAUUGAUAAAACACGGGGGAAUUCCAAGAAUUUGCAGACAGCUACGAACGAUUUCGCAGACCAUAUUUUUUUCUACACAGUAUAUAAGUACUUCGAUCUAGUUCUAUCAUUGUACUUUGGGUUUAAAACCGUAUCGUUUCUGUCAUUACGCUAACAAAAUAAUGAAAAAAUCAAAGGUGCGUACUUCUUAUUAUGCCAGAAUAAAAAGGUUGAACAAGAUCAAUGAGUGCUAUGAAAUUAAAACAAAAACGCUGAUGACAGAUGUAAGAAAUUUUUAAGGAAGGAUUAAAACUAAAAAAAUGGUUGUGGGGCGUUGGAUGCGCAGCAAUUUUGGUUUUAGUAUCUUGCCUUCCUGGAAUUAUCAUUCUCAUUACGAAUAAAUAC